rnacentral:rRNA from 1 species
AGCAGCCGCGGUAAUUCCAGCUCCAAUAGCGUAUAUUAAAGUUGUUGCAGUUAAAAAGCUCGUAGUUGAAUUUCGGGAUCAAUAUGUCGGUCGUGCCUUCGGUACGUACUGGUAUCAUUGGUCUCUCCUUUCUGACGAACCAUGAUGUCAUUAAUUUGGUGUUAUGGGGAGUUAGGACUGUUACUUUGAAAAAUUAGAGUGUUUAAAGCAGGCUUUAGCUUGAAUACAUUAGCAUGGAAUAAUGAAAUAGGACGUUCGAACCUAUUUUGUUGGUUUCUAGGAUCAACGUAAUGAUUAAUAGGGAUAGUUGGGGGCAUUAGUAUUCAAUUGUCAGAGGUGAAAUUCUUGGAUUUAUUGAAGACUAACUACUGCGAAAGCAUUUGCCAAGGAUGUUUUCAUUAAUCAAGAACGAAAGUUAGGGGAUCGAAGACGAUCAGAUACCGUCGUAGUCUUAACCAUAAACUAUGCCGACUAGGGAUCGGAUGAUGUUAAUUUUUA